AUUGAACGCUGGCGGCAUGCCUUACACAUGCAAGUCGAACGGCAGCACGGGGCAACCUGGUGGCGAGUGGCGAACGGGUGAGUAAUGCAUCGGAACGUGCCAUUGAGUGGGGGAUAACGUAGCGAAAGUUGCGCUAAUACCGCAUAUUCUGUGAGCAGGAAAGCAGGGGACCGCAAGGCCUUGCGCUCUUUGAGCGGCCGAUGUCAGAUUAGCUAGUUGGUGAGGUAACGGCUUACCAAGGCGACGAUCUGUAGCGGGUCUGAGAGGAUGAUCCGCCACACUGGAACUGAGACACGGUCCAGACUCCUACGGGAGGCAGCAGUGGGGAAUUUUGGACAAUGGGCGCAAGCCUGAUCCAGCCAUGCCGCGUGAGUGAAGAAGGCCUCGGUUGUAA
rnacentral:rRNA from 1 species